GAUGAACGCUAGCGGCAGGCCUAACACAUGCAAGUCGAGGGGCAGCACAGAAACAGCAAUGUUUUGGUGGCGACCGGCGGACGGGUGCGUAACGCGUAUGCAACCUACCCUUAACAGGGGGAUAACGGAGAGAAAUUUCCACUAAUACCCCAUAACAUCGAUCAAGGCAUCUUGAUUGGUUGAAAACUCCGGUGGUUAAAGAUGGGCAUGCGUUGUAUUAGGUAGUUGGUGAGGUAAUGGCGCACCAAGCCUACGAUACAUAGGGGGACUGCGAGGUUAGCCCCCCACACUGGUACUGAGACACGGACCAGACUCCUACGGGAGGCAGCAGUGAGGAAUAUUGGUCAAUGGGGGCAACCCUGAACCAGCCAUGCCGCGUGCGGGAAGACGGCUCUAUGAGUUGUAAACUGCUUUUAAACAGGGAUAAAGCACAGUAUGUAUACUGUGUUGAAGGUACUGUAAGAAUAAGGAUCGGCUAACUCCGUGCCAGCAGCCGCCGUAA
rnacentral:rRNA from 1 species